rnacentral:rRNA from 1 species
GUAGUCCACGCUGUAAACGAUGAGUGCUAAGUGUUAGAGGGUUUCCGCCCUUUAGUGCUGAAGUUAACGCAUUAAGCACUCCGCCUGGGGAGUACGGUCGCAAGACUGAAACUCAAAGGAAUUGACGGGGGCCCGCACAAGUGGUGGAGCAUGUGGUUUAAUUCGAAGCAACGCGAAGAACCUUACCAGGUCUUGACAUCCUCUGACAACCCUAGAGAUAGGGCGUUCCCUUCGGGGACAGAGUGACAGGUGGUGCAUGGUUGUCGCCAGCUCGUGUCGUGAGAUGUUGGGUUAAGUCCCGCAACGAGCGCAACCCUUGAUCUUAGUUGCCAGCAUUAAGUUGGGCACUCUAAGGUGACUGCCGGUGACAAACCGGA